GAUGAACGCUGGCGGCGUGCCUAAUACAUGCAAGUCGAGCGAACAGACGAGGAGCUUGCUCCUCUGACGUUAGCGGCGGACGGGUGAGUAACACGUGGAUAACCUACCUAUAAGACUGGGAUAACUUCGGGAAACCGGAGCUAAUACCGGAUAAUAUAUUGAACCGCAUGGUUCAAUAGUGAAAGACGGUUUUGCUGUCACUUAUAGAUGGAUCCGCGCCGCAUUAGCUAGUUGGUAAGGUAACGGCUUACCAAGGCAACGAUGCGUAGCCGACCUGAGAGGGUGAUCGGCCACACUGGAACUGAGACACGGUCCAGACUCCUACGGGAGGCAGCAGUAGGGAAUCUUACGCAAUGGGCGAAAGCCUGACGGAGCAACGCCGCGUGAGUGAUGACGGUCUUCGGAUCGUAAAACUCUGUUAUUAGGGAAGAACAAAUGUGUAAGUAACUAUGCACGUCUUGACGGUACCUAAUCAGAAAGCCACGGCUAACUACGUG
rnacentral:rRNA from 1 species